CAAGGUUUUACAAGAAUGAACCCAGAGAAGCUAUCCUCCACUAUCUCCAACGUCUGAAGGAUGAAGGAGUAGACAUCUCAGAUUUCAGACUAGACGACAUGCUAGAUUCAGAAUCAGACUUCGUCAAGUUCAAAAGAGGUCCAUCUGAAAAGAAGUCUUCAAGAGCAAAGAAAGCAAGGCUAGGAGAAACAUCUGAAUCAAGACCUUCAGCGC
rnacentral:lncRNA from 1 species